GAGAUAAGCCAGAAACAUAAAACAAUAGCACAAACAAAAGAUGAGAGAGGAAAAGAUCAAAACAGUAAGAGAAAAAAUGAAGAUGAAUAUAUCUGAAAUUUAUUUAACUAUGUCACUGUGGCCAAGUUAAACUUUUCGCCUACCCAUAAAGGACAAUUAUACCAGUACCAAAGGAUUAUGUUGAAGAUUAAAACAAAGCAAUAUGUAUAAAAACCUGAGCUUUGCACCAAACACAAAUGUAUUUACGGCACUUACCCUUCAUCAUAUAUGAGACUGGACAUUUAAUUCUUUUUUACUAAAUCUUAUGAAUCAGUACUUAAAAAUUUUUUUUUUUUUUAAAUAUAGGGCUUUUCACAGAACCUGGAAAUAAACAGAUUCUCAAUAUGGAGAUGUCAAAGAAGAAACCUUAGAAAUCUACUUCAGUUCCCUCAUUUUGGAAAUAAGAAAAAGAUGUGAUUAGAUAUUUAAGAUGGAACUUAAUUUUUAAGCUAGGAAGUUUGGUGAGUACAGGCAUUUUUCGAGGGGAACAAAGACAGGGAUUGGUUUAAUUGCGAGCCUACCUGUGUGCUUAAGUAGCAGCAUGCACUGAUAUUUACCCACCAUGACUUAAUGCCCAUUAAAUUUUUUAUUGCAUAAAUAGAAUAUUUCAAGUGUUAAUUGUUACGGCUUUCAGAAAGAGGUUGAGCUAUCAUUAUUAAAGCAUUCAGGCACACAAGAGUUUUGAGGGCAUUACUCUGCUGUGGUUCCCCCUCUUUGCCUGGUAAAGCAAUAAAGCUAUUCUUUUCUACUUCAUCUCCACCUUUCCCCCAAACAAAAAAUCACUAUUAAAGUAUUUAAUUCAAAAUUCUAGAAUAUCAAGAAUCCACCUAGAGUUUUAAAUAUUAUUCUUUUGUUUGAUGUCAUUCUUUCAAAAUGCUAAAUGUUCACGAAAGGAAUUAUGAUAAGAGUGUCAACCAUAGCCAAUGAAUCACACACCCAUAGCUAACUGGAACCACCACAGAGGUUUUAGGUGCCAUUUUGAAUCAAGACUGGGAGACAGCAAGGUCCAUUAACUCCAGUAAAAACGUGAUCCUGCCUCACCCAUUGGACUACCAUCACGCCAAAGGGUGGGGGGUGGGGGGGGGGAACUGUCAAACGCCAAUCAAAAUGAAAUGAUGCCCUUGCCCGCGGGUAUCUGUAUUCCUUCACCUCUUAAAAGCUAACACUGUGCUCCGGCCGUGGAAGCCCAAAACAAUGUUUCAUGAAACAAAAACGAAGCAAAAAGGAUGGUUUCUGAGGCCUCUUCAAACUCUUCAGUUGUCGUGGCUGAAAUCAGUUUCAUUCUAGAUGAGUUACAGAGGAAACAGAACCCGUGAAUGAACGAAGGAAUUUCGAAAAGAUACUAAAACCCCUGGACUUCCCUGAUGACUCAGUCUGUAAAGAAUCCUCCUGCCAAUGCAGAAGACCUGGGUUUGAUCCCUGGGUCAAGAAGAUCCUGAAGAAGGAAAUGGCAACACACUCCAGUAUUCUUGCCUGGGAAAUCCCAUGGACGGAGGAGCCUGGCGGGCUAUGGUCCAUAUAGCCCAAAGGCUCAGAUACAACUCAGUGACUAAAUCACCACCAAAAAAGAGAAAGUUAACUUCAUGCUGACCACCAGUAUAUAGACCCAACGCAAUCAGAACCAGAAGGCUGACUGAGAUUCCCAAAACAUCACCCUAGUACCAUUACCAUCAAUCUUGUUCUCAGUCAAGAAUUGUGCGCGCGCGCACACACACACACACACACACACACACACAAAUUGUGCACAAGCUGAUCACACACCCUGACACACUGUCCCUACGUCUUUACCCAUCUAUAAAAGCCAUUGGCAGCGUGAGGCUUUCUCACUUGGCCCCGAAAUCAAUGCUGUACUUCCCUUCCUUACAGCCCAGGGUCAGCAGAUUGCCUUGCUGUGUAUGGGGCAGGCAGACCCAGGUUUGGUUUAGUAACAGCCUCUGCACACAGGAAUAGGCUCAAGGAUGGACAUGACUCCAGGAGUAAGAGGAUUUCCCAGGUCCUAGGAAUGAUUAGGCUUUUCACUGUGAUUAGAUACAGGAGACGUGGAUUCAAUCCCUGGAUCAGGAAGAUCCCCUGAAGGCAUGCAGCAGGCAGGGCAAGGUACUGCAAAGCACUAGCAGGGGGGUGUUCUCCUGACCACGACACUCCCUUGACCUUCAUCAUGUUGGUGUACUUUAGGAUUGAGUGAUUUCCUGAGCUUAGAAAAGAAGGAACUCUCUUGGUUGACCUGGUUUUGCAAUGUGGCAUUUGAAGUCAUUGCUGAAAGCUCUGUCAGUUCUCAGUGAUUUUAUGCUCAAGUUAAUAUUUUGUUGUUUUUUUUAAAAAGUUCUCUCAAAUACAUAAAAUUCACUGUGUUCUCUGCACUCUACUGGACCUUAUUACAUUGGACAUACUACAUUGAGGUGAUGGUGACGGUUCUGAGGAGCUGGUAAGGACACUGUCCAGAACUGUGAAGGAUCUGAGGUUCACUUGCAUGCUGCAAGUCAGCCCUGCCAUCACUUCAUGGAUCCUGGGUUGAAGCCAAAUGACUUUACACUGAACAGCACAGCAAGCAGCACAAGCUGCAAGUUCCCAUCAGUUCCCUUUGCCCUCUGAGUGCCACGGGGGUGAUGCAGAGUGGUCCAGGGGGUUGCUGAGCAUGCAGUGGGGUGGGUUUGCAUCACAGCUGAGGAGUCCAAAGUUUAGGGUACCUGAAUCUUUUAUAAUAAGCACAAGCAACUCUGCCCAACUUUUGCCCUGGGGAGAAACAUUAUGUGUAUUAUACAACGGAAAACAAACCUGCCUUCUCCAUGAUGGAAACACAGUAUCUCCCAAGGCUGUUCACUAUAUAAAUCUCCUUGACAAAGAUAGUGUAGAACGAAGGCUGUCAAAGCUUCCACUCUCCGGAUGUGAGAAACUUAAGAGACUCAAGGGGAAUUGUUUCUAACAGACAUUAGCCAACUUUUCAAUUGUAGCCACUCUUAUUUUACAGCACAAACCAGUUUUAUCUUUUAAAAAUUCACUUUAAUCUAGUCAUGAGAUCUUACAAACAUUUGUAUGCAGUCAGGGACUAAUUUAUAGCAUGGUUUCUAUUCAUCUCAGC